rnacentral:rRNA from 1 species
CACGUAGGCACCAAGCGUUGUCCGGAUUUACUGGGCGUAAAGCGUGCGCAGGCGGUUAUGCAAGACAGAUGUGAAAUCCCCGGGCUCAACCUGGGAACUGCAUUUGUGACUGCAUGACUUGAGUACGGUAGAGGGGGAUGGAACUCCGCGUGUAGCAGUGAAAUGCGUAGAUAGGCGGAGGAACACCGAUGGCGAGGGCAGCCCCCUGGGCUAACACUGACGCUGAUGCACGAAAGCGUGGGGAGCAAACAGG